rnacentral:lncRNA from 1 species
CAUUAGUCAGCUAAUAAGUCAAAGCAAGCGGUGUACUUCCGUGGAGUUCCAGAAAUCCUUGCUAGUUUGCGCUGUUCCCUUGCUUUCGCACUUUCCUUUAAUCAUGAAUGCCGGCAUCUUCACCCUUCUCGUUAGCGCAACAGGAAAAGAGAACUCCUAAUAAACUUCAAUAAGUGUUAGCGGCGGUGCGAGUGCGUUUAAGGCGCAAGGAAUAGUAUCAAAAUCCAGUGGAUCUCAGUAAUCAAUUGGUAUGGCACAAGCUUUGACGCGAAGUGGAAAGUGACAAGUAUAGCGAGCGAGACGAAGUUUCAAGUAUCAAGUAUAGUGUUUGUUUUGAAGCAAGCGGUAUCUAAGUCAGGUAUCGUCUAUUUCCAUUUAUACCCCGGGGACAGUGCUUUUACUAAUUUCUUUUCAUUGAAGCAAGACAGUGUUUUGACUUUACUAACCUCUACAGUAUAAGAAGGAUGUCGGCUAAGGCAUCCGCUCAAGUAAGGGCAGUGCUGUGUCUUUACUCAAUUCCAUAUUAGUAUUCUUUACCUUUACUCAAUUCCAUAUUAGUAUUCUUUACUCAAUUCUAUAUUAGUAUAGCAAUACAAAAGUCAGGCUUUCUAACAAGGAAGGGUCGUAUUCUUCAGUACAAAGUUGGAACGCUAACUAACGGGAGAUCUAUUGGCCCAAGAAGGAUUCCGGAUCUGAUGGACUGGGCCCAACAAGGGUUUCCGCUUACGUUACUGAGUUUCCAAAUUCCUAGAUAAUCAAUUCCUAGAUAAGAUAUAUUAUAUGCGUAAGAGAAGAAAGAGAUAGCUGACAGAAAUGAAUGUUUGACUCUUCUCUUUGACUUGACUCGGUGCAAGAAAUAUGACAAUUACAGUUUUCCUCGCCGCAAGCAGGAAUUCCAUCAGUGUCUCGUGCUUGUGCAUGAGGUUCGAUAAACAGGUAAGAUCAAAAAGAUAGAUAGAUUUCAUCGAGUAAUCGGGUAAUCAGAAAUAUGUUGAAGCUGGUCAUUCUAUAUGUGAUGAAACAAGAGCAAGGGUAGCAAGUAAUCAGGUAUAGCAACGGCUUACGGGUCAGUGACAUUGAAAUUCCAGCGAGUUACUGUUGCGCUAAGGGAGUUUAUAGGUGUAGGUACAUAUAUAAGAUCUAGUAAGAUAACAAUUCCAUAAGGGUAUUCCUAUAGCGGCCAAGCAACAACUGCCCACGGAAAGUCUUGAGCAGCCAUCGGUUCCGCACUCUGACACUGAACAAGCAACGUCAACUAGGGCAGGGCUCGCUAAUGGAGCGACUUUUCACCGUGAGGAAUUUCCAGCGUUAGGAGCAGCACUUUUGCCCACAGAGCGGUAAAGAACAGGAACUUCCUUUAAUGCUUGGAUCACACCUUUACCUUGCUGAAGAAUCAUAAGGACAUAAUCAAUCGUACCUUAGCGCUUCAGAAGUUAGGGCUAAUAAGAGGCUUGCUUGAAACCGGAACUGACCGACUUUGAGCUCCAGCAAGACAAUAAGUAUAGUGUGUGAAUAAGUUCCAGAGCAGAGGUAAACUCUCAAUCAGGCGAGAAAGAAGGGUGGACUGCAUGGUGUGUACUUUUCUUUACCGAGGCUGAGGCAAGAGCGAAGGAAGGCAAUAAUCCAAGUCAAGGUAAUCAAGCCAUUCUCGUCGACUUAACUGUAAACCUAAACUACACUUGAAGAACAGCUUACUGACUUUCUACAAUAGAACCACUAACUUAAGACUUAGACACAAUAACUUCUCUUGCAGAUGCAUACAAUGCUCAAACGGAUUCUUCUCUCAGGGGGCCCAUAUUCAACAAGAACUGAAACAGCUCCUGAAACAAAAACCGGAUUACUUAGACACUCGAACUUGAAACAAAGAACUCCUCACGCGCUGAGAGGAAGGACAUUCUCCAAGUCAAGGCUAUCAGUAGGAUUUCCUAUCGUUUCACCCAAGUUAUAGGGAUGGAAUGGAAUGGCCAGAAAGAAUAGAAACUGAGAAAUAAGCAACAUAUUUAGCAAGACUAAGUGCUUACGGGAGUUACGCAAGAAGGAGUGGAGUGGAACUCGACAAGUAACAGCUUUGGAAGCAAUAAUUAUGGUUUUGAUUCCUAUAGUCAAGUAAUAGUACUCAUAUAUAUAUUCUUUCUUACGGAUUCUAUUAGGCAUUGGCAUCAGAUCUUUCAAACGGAAACUAUACUUAAAGAAUCGAUAACACCUCGAACUGGAACUGGCCGACUAGCAGAAGUAGCUACAGCACCGAACUCAACUUAAACAAUAACUACACUUGCAGAAACAGACGUUGCACUUGCUGUAGUUCCUUGCCCCCCUGCUGUUACUAUGGGGAUCUACCUGUUUGUUGUUCUUGCUUGUUCGGUGAACUCAACUCGAUAAAGGGCUUCUGGUUAUCGUACACUAGAACUUGUUGAUUAGCUUGUUCCAUAACUAGAAUCAAUUGUUUGUUCGAACUCCACUAACUCCCUUACUGAGAGAGCUACGCUAUAUCUUCUAGCUUCAGAUCCAGCUUUUGCUUGAACAAAGAGAGUGGAUUAGGCUUCUUAAUGGAAUAACACUUGAACAGUCCUAUUCUCGUCGCCAACACCCGGGGGGGUUUAAGAAGAGAUUGAGGUUCAGUCGUCCUAUGAAGAAUUGAUAAUAAUAGUUCCGGGUUUACUGCCGCUACACAUUAUCUGUGUCUUGGUAAGUAGUUAGAUGGGAAAUGCCCUAUGAGAUAUACUUAUCGGAUGUAUAAAUGAAUUUGGAACCCUAUUCUUGUGGUGUAGAUAUGUAUGGAUAGUUCUUUCGCUCCA